UACAGAGGUCCCGAGCGUCGUUCGGAUUCACUGGGCGUAAAGGGUGCGUAGGUGGCGAGGUAAGUCGGAUGUGAAAGCUCGGAGCUCAACUCCGAAAUGGCAUUGGAAACUACCUUGCUCGAGGGUUGGAGGGGGGACUGGAAUGCUUGGUGUAGCAGUGAAAUGCGUAGAUAUCAAGCGGAACACCAGUGGCGAAGGCGAGUCCCUGGACAACUCCUGACACUGAGGCACGAAAGCUAGGGGAGCAAACAGG
rnacentral:rRNA from 1 species